rnacentral:rRNA from 1 species
GACGAACGCUGGCGGCGUGCUUAACACAUGCAAGUCGAACGGUGAAGCGCCUUCCUUUUUGGUGGGUGUGGAUGAGUGGCGAACGGGUGAGUAACACGUGAGUAACCUGCCCCCUUCUUCUGGAUAACCGCAUGAAAGUGUGGCUAAUACGGGAUAUUCUGGGUCUGUCGCAUGAUGGGUCUGGGAAAGAUAUUGUUUCGGUGGGGGAUGGGCUCGCGGCCUAUCAGCUUGUUGGUGGGGUGAUGGCCUACCAAGGCGGUGACGGGUAGCCGGCCUGAGAGGGUGGACGGUCACACUGGGACGGAGACACGGCCCAGACUCCUACGGGAGGCAGCAGUGGGGAAUAUUGCACAAUGGGCGCAAGCCUGAUGCAGCGACGCCGCGUGAGUGAUGGAGGCCUUCGGGUUGUGAACCUCUUUCGCCAGUGAAGCAGUCCUGCCUCGUUUGUGGGUGGGUUGACGGUAGCUGGAUAAGAAGCGCCGGCUAACUACGUG